rnacentral:rRNA from 1 species
UACCGGCGGCUCGAGUGGUGGCCGAUAUUAUUGAGUCUAAAGGGUCCGUAGCCGGCUUUGCAAGUCUUUUGGGAAAUCCAGCGGCUUAACCGUUGGUCGUCCGGGAGAUACUACAUUGCCUGGGACUGGGAGAGGUAGGAGGUACUCAGGGGGUAGGAGUGAAAUCCUGUAAUCCUUUGGGGACCACCGGUGGCGAAGGCGUCCUACCAGAACAGGUCCGACGGUGAGGGACGAAAGCUAGGGGCACGAACCGG